rnacentral:rRNA from 1 species
CUUUUAUGGAGAGUUUGAUCCUGGCUCAGGACGAACGCUGGCGGCGUGCCUAAUACAUGCAAGUCGAGCGGAAAUUUUAUUGGUGCUUGCACCUUUAAA